AAACCCCAUAACUUAGCUCCAGAAUAACUAGAAAACCCCCAGAACUUAGCUCCAGAAUAACUAGAAAACCCCAUAACUUAGCUCCAGAAUAACUAGGAAAACCCCAUAACUUAGCUCCAGAACAACUAGAAAAACCCCAUAACUUAGCUCCAGAAUAACUAGGAAAACCCCAUAACUUAGCUCCAGAAUAACUAGGAAAACCCCAUAACUUAGCUCCAGAACAACUAGAAAAACCCCAUAACUUAGCUCCAGAAUAACUAGAAAACCUCAUAACUUA